UAGCUCACUGGUCGAGUGACUCUGCGCCGAAAAUGUAACGGGGCUAAACACACCACCGAAGCUAUGGCUUGAUGCUUGCAUCAGGGGUAGGGGAGCGUUGAAUGCGGGUUGAAGGUGUACCGUAAGGAGCGCUGGACUGCAUUCAAGUGAGAAUGCCGGUAUGAGUAACGAAAAGAUCUGUGAGAAUCAGAUCCGCCGAAAGCCUAAGGGUUCCUGAGGAAGGUUCGUCCGCUCAGGGUAAGUCGGGACCUAAGGCGAGGCCGAUAGGCGUAGUCGAAGGACAACAGGUCGAAAUUCCUGUACCACCGUAAUCCGUUAUGAGCGAUGGGGUGACGCAGUAGGGUAGUGACGCGGACUGAUGGAUGUCCGUCUAAGCAGUGAGGCUGAUGUGUAGGCAAAUCCGCACAUCGUUAAGGCUGGGCUGUGAUGGGGAGCGAAAAUUGUAGUAGCGAAGGUCAUGAUCUCAGACUGCCAAGAAAAGCCUCUAGCCAGGAGAAGGUGCCCGUACCGCAAACCGACACAGGUAGGCGAGAAGAGAAUUCUAAGGCGCGCGGAAGAACUCUCGUUAAGGAACUCGGCAAAAUGACCCCGUAACUUCGGGAGAAGGGGUGCCUCGGUAGGGUGAAUAGCCCGAGGGGGCCGCAGUGAAAAGGCCCAAGCGACUGUUUAGCAAAAACACAGGUCUGUGCGAAGCCGCAAGGCGAAGUAUACGGGCUGACGCCUGCCCGGUGCUGGAAGGUUAAGGGGAGUGGUAAGCCCUUCGGGGCGAAGCUAUGAACCGAAGCCCCAGUAAACGGCGGCCGUAACUAUAACGGUCCUAAGGUAGCGAAAUUCCUUGUC
rnacentral:rRNA from 1 species